GCUUGACNUAUACCGGAAACGUUCAGAAAUGUUCGCCCCGCAAGGUCGGUAUACAGGUGGUGCAUGGUUGUCGUCAGCUCGUGUCGUGAGAUGUUGGGUUAAGUCCCGCAACGAGCGCAACCCUCGUCGUAUGUUGCCAGCACGUAAUGGUGGGAACUCAUAUGAGACUGCCGGGGUCAACUCGGAGGAAGGUGGGGAUGACGUCAAAUCAUCAUGCCCCUUAUGUCUUGGGCUUCACGCAUGCUACAAUGGCUGGUACAAUGGGCUGCAAUACCGCGAGGUGGAGCGAAUCCCAAAAAGCCAGUCUCAGUUCGGAUUGGGGUCUGCAACUCGACCCCAUGAAGUCGGAGUCGCUAGUAAUCGCAGAUCAGCAACGCUGCGGUGAAUACGUUCCCGGG
rnacentral:rRNA from 1 species